rnacentral:rRNA from 1 species
AAUAUUGGACAUUGGGCGAAAUCGUGAUCCAGCCAUGCCGCGUGUGUUAAGAAGGUCUUGGGAUUGUAAAGCACUUUAAGUUGGGAGGAAUGGCAGUAAUUUAAUACUUUGCUGUUUUGACGUUACCGACAGAAUAAGCACCGGCUAACUUCGUCCCAUCAGCUCGGGGAACACGAAGGGUGCAAGCGUUAAUCGGAAUUACUGGGCGUAAAGCGCGCGUAGGUGGUUUGUCAAGUUGGAAGUGAAAGCCCCGGGCUCAACCUGGGAACUGCUUUCAAAACUGGCAAGCUAGAGUAUGGCAGAGGGUGGUGGAAUUUCCUGUGUAGCGGUGAAAUGCGUAGAUAUAGGAAGGAACACCAGUGGCGAAGGCGACUACCUGGACUGAUACUGACACUGAGGUGCGAAAGCGUGGGGAGCAAAC